rnacentral:rRNA from 1 species
CCUACGGGAGGCAGCAGUGGGGGAUAUUGCACAAUGGGGGAAACCCUGAUGCAGCGACGCCGCGUGUGGGAAGACGGUCCUCUGGAUUGUAAACCACUGUCCCCAGGGACGAAGAUGACGGUACCUGGGGAGGAAGCUCCGGCUAACUACGUGACAGCAGCCGCGGUAAUACGUAGGGAGCGAGCGUUGUCCGGAAUUACUGGGUGAAAAGGGAGCGUAGGCGGGACUGCAAGUUGGGUGUCAAAUCUACCGGCGCAACCGGUAGCCGCACUCAAAACUGCAGUUCUUGAGUGAAGUAGAGGCAGGCGGAAUUCCUAGUGUAGCGGUGAACUGCGUAGAUAUUAGGAGGAACACCAGUGGCGAAGGCGGCCUGCUGGGCUUUUACUGACGCUGAGGCUCGAAAGUGUGGGGAGUAAACAGGAUUAGAUACCCGAGUAGUC